rnacentral:RNase_P_RNA from 1 species
CAAUAAAAUAAAUUUAGCAACGUAUAUUAAUUAUAUAUGAGGAAAGUCCGAGCUUCAUUAUAGAUACUACAGAAAUUGUAGAAUUUUUACUUAUUGUAAAAAUAUUGAAAGUGUCACAGAAACAAAGUCUACUAUAAAAUAGUAAGAGUGAAAAGGUGGUUAAGUGAUUAAUACAAAAAAGACAAACACAUAUCAGAAGCAAGUAUAACGCAGUGUGUAUAAAGUGAUUUAUAUAAUAGAAAAAUUGCUAAUUAAUACAGAACUUGGCUUAUAAAUAUUUUAUUGUUAA